AUUACCUUGGCAGAAAUGAUGUAUUAGAUUUAGGAUCUAAUUAUAUAGGGAGUCCUAUAGGUAAUA
rnacentral:tRNA from 1 species